AGGACGAACGCUGGCGGCGUGCCUAACACAUGCAAGUCGAACGAGGUUAAUCCGGUAGCAAUACUGGUGACUGCCUAGUGGCGAACGGGUGAGUAGCACGUGAGCAACCUGCCCCGAAGACCGGGACAACACCGGGAAACCGGUGCUAAUACCGGAUACCCCCACCUAAUCGCAUGAUCUGGUGAGGAAAUGGAUUCCGCUUCGGGAGGGGCUCGCGGCCUAUCAGCUAGUUGGUGAGGUAACGGCUCACCAAGGCUUCGACGGGUAGCUGGUCUGAGAGGACGAUCAGCCACACUGGGACUGAGACACGGCCCAGACUCCUACGGGAGGCAGCAGUGGGGAAUCUUGCACAAUGGGCGAAAGCCUGAUGCAGCAACGCCGCGUGAGGGACGAAGGCUUUCUGAGUUGUAAACCUCUUUCAGCAGGGACGAUUGUGACGGUACCUGCAGAAGACGCCCGGCAACUACGCGCCAGCACGCCGCGGUAA
rnacentral:rRNA from 1 species